rnacentral:rRNA from 1 species
UGAGUAACGCGUGAACAAUCGUGUCCAGACAGGGGAUAACACUUGGAAACAGGUGCGUAAUACCGCAUAAGACCACAGCAUCGACGAUGGUGGAGGGGUAAAAGGAGCGAUCCGGUUUGGGUGAGUUCGCGUCCGAUUAGCCAGUUGCGGGGUAAGGCCCACCAAAGCGACGAUCGGUAGCCGAUCUGAGAGGAUGACCGGCCACAUUGGGAACUGAGAGACGGUCCAAAUCCUACGGGAGGCAGGCAGUGGGGAAUAUUGGGCAAUGGGCGAAAGGUACCCUGACCCAGCAACGCCGCGUGAGUGAAGAAGGCUUUCGGGUUGUAAAGCUCUGUUAUAGGGGACGAAGGAAGUGACGGUACCCUAUAAGGAAGCCCCGGCUAACUACGUGCCAGCAGCCGC